GGGGGUGCGCGUCUUCCGGCCGACCCUCCUCCUGCUCCUGCUAUGUUGCUGACCCACGCUGCUGGCGCGAGUGGUCUUGCCCCUCGGGACCCGAGGAGGGAGGAGUUCUUCGUUCCCUUCAGCUUUCAGGCCCCAGGGAGAACCUUUCAGUCACAGGCAGCCUAGGUUCAAGAAGAAGAAAACCUGAGGCCUCGGCUCACCCUGACAGGGAAGUGGCGUGGGGACCGCUAAAGGACUGCGAGGUUCCACUGCCCAGGGCUGUCUAACCGCUUGCUUUAGACUGUGGGUGCACGGAGUCCGUCACUCAGCCUCCAGGACCAGGGCUCCUGAUGUGUGAGCGCGUUCCAUUCCCCCAUUCCCACAAGAACCCUCGCUCCCGCGAAGGCCUCCUGAGCUUGCGCGACUCCGCUGGGCCUUGGAGAGCUCUGGGGAGGGAGGCGCCUCUCCAGCACCCAGAUCCCCAGCCUGCAGCGCCUCGGGGCCAGUGUGGCCCGGAAUGGCAGGUGGCAUGAUGUCAUUUUGUCAUUAGGCACCACCGUGGGGACUGCAUGUUGUCAAUGGACCCACUAUGCUCAUGAUGCUCCUUAUCGAGUUCUACCCUGUGCAGCUCCCAGGCCCUGCUGCUGGGGCAGUCGCCUGGGGCCCCUCACCAUCUGACGGCUGUCACCGCAGGCCAGGAUGUGCACUCUCAACAGCCCAGGCUUUGAGGGCUGCUCUGGAGUAUGAUGGAUACUGUAGCUGUUCGCUUUUGAAAAAGAAAGACCUGUGGCGAGAGCAUUUCCUUCUCUAAGUAAACACCUGACUGGGUCCUGUUCA
rnacentral:lncRNA from 1 species